rnacentral:lncRNA from 1 species
AUGUCCAUUGAGUCGGUGAUGCCAUCCAACCAUCUCAUCCUCUGUCAUCCCCUUCUCCUGCCUUCAUUCUUUCCCAGUAUCAGGGUCUUUUCAAAUGAGUUGGCUCUUCAUAUCAGGUGGCCAAAGUAUUGGAGUUUCAGCUUCAACAUCAGUCCUUCCAAUGAACACCCAGGACUGCUGUCUUUGAGAAUGCACUGGUUGGACUCUAAAGAGUCUUCUCCAACACCACAGUUCAAAAGCAUUAAUUCUUUGGCACUCAGCUUUCUUUAUAGUCCAACUCUCACAUCCAUAUAUGACUACUGGAAAAACCAUAGCCUUGACUAGAUGUACCUUUGUUGACAAAGUAAAGUUUUUGCUUUUUAAUAUGCUGUCAAGUUUGGUCAUAACUUUCCUUCUAAGUAGUAAGCGUCUUUUAAUUUCAUGGCAGCAAUCACCAUCUGCAGUGAUUAAGCCCCAAA